GCCUAGAUGGCUCAGGGGUAGAGCACAUCCUUGGUAAGGAUGAGGUCGCGGGUUCAAUUCCCGCUCUAGGCUCCA
rnacentral:tRNA from 1 species